rnacentral:rRNA from 1 species
GUGAACGCUGGCGGUAGGCCUAACACCUGCAAGUCGAACGGCAGCACAGUAAGAGCUUGCUCUUACGGGUGGCGAGUGGCGGACGGGUGAGGAAUACAUCGGAAUCUACUUUUUCGUGGGGGAUAACGUAGGGAAACUUACGCUAAUACCGCAUACGACCUACGGGUGAAAGCAGGGGAUCUUCGGACCUUGCGCGAUUGAAUGAGCCGAUGUCGGAUUAGCUAGUUGGCGGGGUAAAGGCCCACCAAGGCGACGAUCCGUAGCUGGUCUGAGAGGAUGAUCAGCCACACUGGAACUGAGACACGGUCCAGACUCCUACGGGAGGCAGCAGUGGGGAAUAUUGGACAAAGGGCGCAAGCCUGACCCAGCCAUACCGCGUGGGUGAAGAAGGCCUUCGGGUUGUAAAGCCCUUUUGUUGGGAAAGAAAAGCAGCAGGUUAAUACCCCGCUGUUCUGACGGUACCCAAAGAAUAAGCACCGGCUAACUUCGUG